rnacentral:rRNA from 1 species
GACGAACGCUGGCGGCGUGCCUAAUACAUGCAAGUAGGACGCAGUUGCGAACGGGUGAGUAACGCGUAGGUAACUGCCUAUUAGAGGGGGAUAACUAUUGGAAACGAUAGCUAAUACCGCAUACUAGUAGAUGGACCUGCGUUGUAUUAGCUAGUAGGUAGGGUAAUGGCCUACCUAGGCGACGAUACAUAGCCGACGUGAGAGGGUGAUCGGCCAAACUGGGACUGAGACACGGGCAAGACUCCUACGGGAGGCAGCAGGAGGGAAUCUUCGGAAAUGGGGGGAACCCUGAACGAGCAACGCCGCGGGAGUGAAGAAGGUUUUCGGAUCGUAAAGGUCUGUUGUUAAGGAAGCGGUACUUAACCAGAAAGGGACGGCUAACUACGUGCCAGCAGCCGCGGUAAUAC